rnacentral:rRNA from 1 species
AUUGAACGCUGGCGGCAGGCCUAACACAUGCAAGUCGAGCGGAAACGASUUAWCUGAACCUUCGGGGAACWUUAASGGCGUCGAGCGGCGGACGGGUGAGUAAUGCCUAGGAAAUUGCCCUGAUGUGGGGGAUAACCAUUGGAAACGAUGGCUAAUACCGCAUGAUGCCUACGGGCCAAAGAGGGGGACCUUCGGGCCUCUCGCGUCAGGAUAUGCCUAGGUGGGAUUAGCUAGUUGGUGAGGUAAUGGCUCACCAAGGCGACGAUCCCUAGCUGGUCUGAGAGGAUGAUCAGCCACACUGGAACUGAGACACGGUCCAGACUCCUACGGGAGGCAGCAGUGGGGAAUAUUGCACAAUGGGCGCAAGCCUGAUGCAGCCAUGCCGCGUGUGUGAAGAAGGCCUUCGGGUUGUAAAGCACUUUCAGUCGUGAGGAAGGURGUGUAGUUAAUAGCUGCAUUAUUUGACGUUAGCGACAGAAGAAGCACCGGCUAACUCCGUGCCAGCAGCCGCGGUAAUACGGAGGGUGCGAGCGUUAAUCGGAAUUACUGGGCGUAAAGCGCAUGCAGGUGGUUUGUUAAGUCAGAUGUGAAAGCCCGGGGCUCAACCUCGGAAUAGCAUUUGAAACUGGCAGACUAGAGUACUGUAGAGGGGGGUAGAAUUUCAGGUGUAGCGGUGAAAUGCGUAGAGAUCUGAAGGAAUACCGGUGGCGAAGGCGGCCCCCUGGACAGAUACUGACACUCAGAUGCGAAAGCGUGGGGAGCAAACAGGAUUAGAUACCCUGGUAGUCCACGCCGUAAACGAUGUCUACUUGGAGGUUGUGGCCUUGAGCCGUGGCUUUCGGAGCUAACGCGUUAAGUAGACCGCCUGGGGAGUACGGUCGCAAGAUUAAAACUCAAAUGAAUUGACGGGGGCCCGCACAAGCGGUGGAGCAUGUGGUUUAAUUCGAUGCAACGCGAAGAACCUUACCUACUCUUGACAUCCAGAGAACUUUYCAGAGAUGRAUUGGUGCCUUCGGGAACUCUGAGACAGGUGCUGCAUGGCUGUCGUCAGCUCGUGUUGUGAAAUGUUGGGUUAAGUCCCGCAACGAGCGCAACCCUUAUCCUUGUUUGCCAGCGAGUAAUGUCGGGAACUCCAGGGAGACUGCCGGUGAUAAACCGGAGGAAGGUGGGGACGACGUCAAGUCAUCAUGGCCCUUACGAGUAGGGCUACACACGUGCUACAAUGGCGCAUACAGAGGGCAGCAAGCUAGCGAUAGUGAGCGAAUCCCAAAAAGUGCGUCGUAGUCCGGAUUGGAGUCUGCAACUCGACUCCAUGAAGUCGGAAUCGCUAGUAAUCGUGGAUCAGAAUGCCACGGUGAAUACGUUCCCGGGCCUUGUACACACCGCCCGUCACACCAUGGGAGUGGGCUGCAAAAGAAGUAGGUAGUUUAACCUUCGGGAGGACGCUUACCACUUUGUGGUUCAUGACUGGGGUG